AGAGUUUGAUCCUGGCUCAGGAUGAACGCUAGCUACAGGCUUAACACAUGCAAGUCGAGGGGAAACGACAUCGAAAGCUUGCUUUUGAUGGGCGUCGACCGGCGCACGGGUGAGUAACGCGUAUCCAACCUGCCCACCACUUGGGGAUAACCUUGCGAAAGUAAGACUAAUACCCAAUGAUAUCCCACGAAGGCAUCUGAAUGGGAUUAAAGAUUUAUCGGUGAUGGAUGGGGAUGCGUCUGAUUAGCUUGUUGGCGGGGUAACGGCCCACCAAGGCGACGAUCAGUAGGGGUUCUGAGAGGAAGGUCCCCCACAUUGGAACUGAGACACGGUCCAAACUCCUACGGGAGGCAGCAGUGAGGAAUAUUGGUCAAUGGGCGAGAGCCUGAACCAGCCAAGUAGCGUGCAGGAUGACGGCCCUAUGGGUUGUAAACUGCUUUUAUAAGGGAAUAAAGUGAGUCUCGUGAGACUUUUUGCAUGUACCUUAUGAAUAAGGACCGGCUAAUUCCGUGCCAGCAGCCGCGGUAAUACGGAAGGUCCGGGCGUUAUCCGGAUUUAUUGGGUUUAAAGGGAGCGUAGGCCGGAGAUUAAGCGUGUUGUGAAAUGUAGAUGCUCAACAUCUGCACUGCAGCGCGAACUGGUUUCCUUGAGUACGCACAAAGUGGGCGGAAUUCGUGGUGUAGCGGUGAAAUGCUUAGAUAUCACGAAGAACUCCGAUUGCGAAGGCAGCUCACUGGAGCGCAACUGACGCUGAAGCUCGAAAGUGCGGGUAUCGAACAGGAUUAGAUACCCUGGUAGUCCGCACGGUAAACGAUGGAUGCCCGCUGUUGGUCUGAAUAGGUCAGCGGCCAAGCGAAAGCAUUAAGCAUCCCACCUGGGGAGUACGCCGGCAACGGUGAAACUCAAAGGAAUUGACGGGGGCCCG
rnacentral:rRNA from 1 species